GUCAGUUUGGCAUAGUGGUUUGAGUGCUGGACUAUGACUCUGGAGACUAGGGUUCAAUCCCUGCUUCGCCA